AUAUGGGAUCUGGCCAUUUGGUUUUUUCAAGAAAUUGGGUAUCCCUGGGCCAAAACCCUUGCCUUUCUUUGGAACUGCCUUGGAAUAUCGUAAAGGUAUGGUGGAGUUUGACACCGAGUGCUAUAAGAAAUAUGGGAAAAUCUGGGGGUGAGUAUGUUUACCAACCAGUUCUGUGUGGUAUGUUCCUCACAUUAUCCUAUAGUCAGAAUUCAAAUUGGAGGGUGAAAAAAAUCCACUGGAAGAGGAGAUCUCAAAGGCUCCAAUGCUGUAACAGGACGGUGCCACUGGUUUGAUAGGAAAUUUGUCCACUUCUCCUGGAUUGCAAUUUGUAAAGGAAGGUGUGUAUAUAAAUAUAUUCCAGAUACAUGCUGUAAUUGCAUAUAGAUCCCAAUUAUACCAACUCUGUUCCUGUCUAUAACCCUGACCUGGUGACAUGUGAUAGGUUUGCAUUACCGCUGUCUGCCACUGCAGUUGUAGCAUGGACUACAUGCUCCGGUAACUUCUGCAGGCUAUCCAACUGGCCUUAUACCAUUUCCCCAUCCAUUCAAAAGCCUAUAUCAAUCCUUAUUUAACUUAUCUCCAUUAUCUACUAUAUAUUUUAGAGAGUUUGUCUGUUUGUCUGUAUGUUCAAGAUCUCCUCCUAAAUGAUAAAAACCAAGACCGCAAAAUUCGGUGUUUAGCUUCCUCUUAUCAGAACUUAAAGCAAUGUAAGGGCUUGGUUGUGCCAGAAGAACAGGAUGUGUCUGGAAUGGGAUUGUUUCUCCUAAAGCAAACAAAAAAGAGAAUCACCAAAUCAAGUACAGUCCUCAAAAUUGACAUAACUGAGUGAAUGUUGAAAAGAGACUGAAACAAGAUGAGCCAGAAAAAGAGGAUGAAUCUGGAAUAGGACUGCUUCUCAAUAAACCUUACAGAAAAGAGAUCACACAGAGAAAUUUGGAGUAGUGCUCUUCUGGCACAGCUAAUUCAAUACUUAUGGUUUGAAAACUAGAAUAAAAUGUUAUUGGAAACCAAAUUGACUAUAGCCCUUUUCGGUUAAAACAUAGUGAAUGAUAACAGUUUCUAGGGAUGAAGAAAAAAAUACACUUCAUGGAAUUCCCAUUUUAAAAAACUGCAAAACAUUAAAUGGAAAAGUUUUAACAAUCCCUUUAUAAAAUAAAUCUGAACUUUUAAAAAUAAACCUGAAAGUUAACUUCAUAAAAACAACAUUGUAUUUUUGAAAAAUACAAUCAUUUAAAUAAAGUAUGUACAUUUUCCUGUUGUUUCCCUAACCCCCACCACAAAAAUUGAGUUAAGGACCCUAGCAACAACAGCUAAAUCUGCUAGUAGGAUAAUAAAUCUUUAAACAAUUAUAUAAAACUAGAAUUCAGGCCAAUCAACAAAAGUAUUUCAGUGCUAUCAGCUGAAAAGGUCCAAAUUUGUGAAUCAAAAGGAUAAAAUAAAUGUACUGCUAACAUAAGAGAGUGUAAGGAUCUGGAAAUGUAUAGGCCAAAGAGUGAAUGUUCCUACUGCCUUUAGGAUCCGAUAGCUUUGUGUUCAGCAGCUCUCAUCUCUCAUGGAUUUCAGAGGGUGUUUGGCCUUGUGGAAGAUUGAGCCCUUUCUUUAAAAUGCAUUU